AGCGAACGCUGGCGGCAGGCUUAACACAUGCAAGUCGAGCGGGCAUAGCAAUAUGUCAGCGGCAGACGGGUGAGUAACGCGUGGGAACGUACCUUUUGGUUCGGAACAACACAGGGAAACUUGUGCUAAUACCGGAUAAGCCCUUACGGGGAAAGAUUUAUCGCCGAAAGAUCGGCCCGCGUCUGAUUAGCUAGUUGGUGAGGUAAUGGCUCACCAAGGCGACGAUCAGUAGCUGGUCUGAGAGGAUGAUCAGCCACAUUGGGACUGAGACACGGCCCAAACUCCUACGGGAGGCAGCAGUGGGGAAUAUUGGACAAUGGGCGCAAGCCUGAUCCAGCCAUGCCGCGUGAGUGAUGAAGGCCCUAGGGUUGUAAAGCUCUUUUGUGCGGGAGGAUAAUGACGGUACCGCAAGAAUAAGCCCCGGCUAACUUCGUGCCAGCAGCCGCGGUAAUACGAAGGGGGCUAGCGUUGCUCGGAAUCACUGGGCGUAAAGGGUGCGUAGGCGGGUCUUUAAGUCAGGGGUGAAAUCCUGGAGCUCAACUCCAGAACUGCCUUUGAUACUGAAGAUCUUGAGUUCGGGAGAGGUGAGUGGAACUGCGAGUGUAGAGGUGAAAUUCGUAGAUAUUCGCAAGAACACCAGUGGCGAAGGCGGCUCACUGGCCCGAUACUGACGCUGAGGCACGAAAGCGUGGGGAGCAAACAGG
rnacentral:rRNA from 1 species